GCCGCUAUGGGGAAAUUGGUAGAC
rnacentral:tRNA from 2 species